GGUAAUGUGGCUUAGUGGUAGAGUGCUUGCCUAGCGUGCAUGAGGCUCUGGUUUUGAUUCCUCAGUACCA
rnacentral:tRNA from 1 species